UAAAACAUACCCUCUGCAAUGGGAUAGCUCCCGAAACAUCUUGAAGAUCGCCAAGGCUCUCCUACUCAACUCCUAUUCCACAACGCCCUUGUCAUGCAGAAUGGUAACGUAUACCUGGAUAACUCCAAUCCCUUGAUACGGAGGGAAGG
rnacentral:ribozyme from 1 species